GGAACCGUACAGGCCGGGCGGCGGUAUGCCUUUUCCCCUCUCCGAAAAAGGCGCCACCCCGCGGGUUCAAUUCCCGCCGGUUCCA
rnacentral:tRNA from 1 species